GAUGAACGCUGACAGAAUACUUAACACAUGCAAGUCUUUGGCGAAGCUGUGCUUGCACAGCCUAGCCAAGGCGGACGGGUGAGUAACGCGUAAGGGACUUGCCCUGCAGUCAGGGAUAACAGACGGAAACGACUGAUAAAACCUGGUAAAGUCAGACGGACUCAUGUCCAGCCUGAUGAAAAGGAGUGCUGCAGGAGAGCCUUGCGUCCUAUUAGCUUGUUGGUGGGGUAACGGCCCACCAAGGCGAUGAUAGGUAGCCGGCCUGAGAGGGUGGACGGCCACAAGGGGACUGAGAUACGGCCCUUACUCCUACGGGAGGCAGCAGUGGGGAAUAUUGGACAAUGGGGGCAACCCUGAUCCAGCAAUUCUGUGUGCACGAUGAAGGUCUUCGGAUUGUAAAGUGCUUUCAGCAGGGAAGAAAA
rnacentral:rRNA from 1 species